rnacentral:rRNA from 1 species
UACGUAGGUUGCGAGCGUUAUUCGGAUUUACUGGGCGUAAAGAGCACCUAGGUGGCUUCUUAAGUUGGAUGUGAAAUCUCCUGGCUUAACCGGGAGGCGCCAUUCAAAACUGGGGAGCUUGAGGUCAGCAGGGGAAGGUGGAAUUCCCGGUGUAGUGGUGGAAUGCGUAGAGAUCGGGAGGAACACCAGUGGCGAAAGCGACCUUCUGGGCUGCACCUGACACUCUAGUGCGAAAGCGUGGGGAGCAAACAGG